rnacentral:rRNA from 1 species
ACGCACGCUGGCGGCGUGCUUAACACCUGCCAGUCGAACGGAAAGGCCCUGCUUUUGUGGGGUGCUCGAGUGGCGAACGGGUGAGUAACACGUGAGUAACCUGCCCUUGACUUUGGGAUAACUUCAGGAAACUGGGGCUAAUACCGGAUAGGAGCUCCUGCUGCAUGGUGGGGGAUGGAAAGUUUCGGCGGUUGGGGAUGGACUCGCGGCUUAUCAGCUUGUUGGUGGGGUAGUGGCUUACCAAGGCUUUGACGGGUAGCCGGCCUGAGAGGAUGACCGGCCACAUUGGGACUGAGAUACGGCCCAGACUCCUACGGGAGGCAGCAGUGGGGAAUAUUGCACAAUGGGCGGAAGCCUGAUGCAGCAACGCCGCGUGCGGGAUGACGGCCUUCGGGUUGUAAACCGCUUUCGCCUGUGACGAAGCGUGAGUGACGGUAAUGGGUAAAGAAGCACCGGCUAACUACGUG